CACCUUCCAGAAAAGGUCAGCAUUAAUGUUCAGCAUAUACAAGAGGCAAUGAACAACAGUAGUGUAUCUUGGCUGCCUUGAAAGACAGCUAUCUGAUGGAUGAUUAUAAACACAAUUAUGGACAUUGAAACUCAAGAACUUGCUGGUAAGGACAAUUUGCAUUCAUACACAAGAGAUAAGAAUGUUCUAUAAAAUCUGAUAGCACAUAUCCUUUAAACACUACAGAUCCAUCUGCCACUUGACAUAACAAAAAGGAACCCUUCCCCUUAACUUUUCAAUCUCAUGCAAACUGUAAUUAAGAACAAGGCACCAAAUUUUAUGAAUUGUAUAAAAUUAGUUCACAAAGCUUUAUCAGUAAAACAAAUGUCAGAUCUCCCUUGCUUACCCCCACCCCCACCCCCAAGUUUUCAUUCUGCACUACUGUCAACCUCUCAGCGUACUCUGGAGCACUGCCAGCCAGCCCACCUCGUUGGUUCGUCCCCUGAAUGUGGAUGGAGCUGAAGGCAUAACCAGAGCAGGGGACUCACACGAUCAUGAACUCUAGAAGCCUUGCCACCGUGAACAAAAAUAAACUCUGCUAUUGAGUCCAUAGGACACAUGAACACUUCUACAGUUUACAACUUUAUUCAUGGCAUUUUUAGAGACAUCUAGAAGUUCUUUACCAUGUGGCACUGCCCUCCCAUUUUAGCCCAAGGGGCUGGUUAAAGCUGGUAAAGCUGGCAAGAGCUCUGCCUGCUGUUUGACGAGAGCUGCAGUUCCUGGCUGCACUAGCAUGGGUGCUGCUCUUAGAGGCAACCGCAAGCAUGAGGGCCAGGCUAGACUGAGGUAAGAAAUCAUUUUUGAGGGCUGGGGUGUAUUCAUCUUGGCUGGCUACAGUGGUAAGUAAACACACCAGCCGAUUACAAAGGGUUCAGAGAGAAAGAGAGAGACUGCUGCUGGCAGAGCAGCACCUGGCAUUUGGCCUGGAGCCCGCUAGUCAAGGUCUAUCUGUUCUCUUCAGAAUGUUUCAGUGUGAUGCCAACUGACACAGCCCUCUUAGGCGCUGCAGGCAGCAGAGGGAGCAGAGCACAGAACAGCACAGCACAGCACAGCACAGCAGCCCAAACAGUGCACAAUGCUUCUACAACAGAUUCAUGCUCCUGCUGCCUGAAGUGCUGUCUGGUUGCAGUGGCACCUUCAUGAGGGUGGCUCAGUGGAGACAGCUAGUUUUAGUUAGAACUCAUUUUAACUCAUUAAUCUCAUGUGGGUUGGGUGUUCAGGUCAGCUAAACAUUUAUAAAGUCCCCAUUCUGCUUACCGGUCUUGCUGAUAGUUGAUACAAAACUUUUUUUUUUAAUUGAAUUAGAACCUUCAAAUUUUCCUUUAAGUGUUUAUAUUGAUUAAUGUUUUUCCCUCUGAACAGACAGAUCUGUAUUCUGUGCCUGUAAGUUCUCUUUCUAAAAUAAAUAAUACAGGGUUUAAAAUGAGGUGCAAUCCAGUCUUGUUUCCUUUUUUACUCCCAAUAGUUUGUUAUUUUUGUUUUUCAGACAAGGUCUCACAAUGUAGCCUCAAACUCAUAAUCCUCCUGCCUCACCCAAACAAGUGCCAUCCUUCCAGGGGUGUACCAGCACACUGAGCUUGGUUUUUGAAUGGGCUUUGCUACCAUGGUAACAAAUCACCAUCAUGCACCUUGGUAAUGUGGACCUCAGGGUACAGCUUUAUAUCAGAACCUCAGGCAGCGUGGACAACCGCGACACUUUAAAACAGUGUCCUGGAGAGGAGGAGGCUGUGCAAAGCUCACAAAAAAGCCUGCAGUAGACAGUAAAAACCAAACAGCACAAAAAUGCCAUACAUUAUCGCUUCCAAAUAAAAGCUAAUACAGAAACCUCACAGUGUUGUAAAAAAGCAAGUUUACAUCUAGCCACCCAUCCCUGUCAGGGAGCUGUUUUCUGUCUGAUUUCUUCCAUGUCUCAGUGAUGUCUGGCAGGCCUACGAGAGUUCAUCUCCAGUGAGGGCAGCAGUAAGUGCUACAGAUGUGCCUGGGAAGCGGAAAAGUGCCUCCUUUAGCCUCACUGUCUCUGUGCCCCACCCCUUCAACUCCCUUCAAGUGACACUGUACUACAUUAACACAAGCUAACUUAUUCACAGGAGAGGCUGUGGGCACUGCACAGGUCAUUGCAGAGAGAAUGAGAGUUUACUGUGCUCUGUCUGGGCAUUUGAACUCCAUUCAGAAAUGGAGCAAAUUUUAAAGAUGUGUUUUUACUAAUAGCAGAGUAAAAGACAGGAGUCUCUCUGUACUUCAUGGACUGAGGGCAGGAGAGAAUGGGUAGCAGAGUGGGAAGAGAACAUGAAGGGCCAUAACCAAGAGCUGGACACAUGGUCAGUUCCUAGGGAAGCGAAAGCUCCAAACCUUGUGAGCACCAAUGUUGCAGGUGCAGGAGAGAAGCUGCAUAGCACACAAGGUGAGACCCUAGGGCAGCAGGCACUGGGACAAUCCCCACUUGCCUUCCCGAAUUCUGGGAAGGCUUCUGACCACUGACCCAAACCACGAGCUGGUUCCAGACCUGAGCCAGGGUCCUGCUACAGGACUGGAGGGGUCAGGAGUGUCCGGCUUAACAUGCGCAGACCGACCAUGCGCUGGUCUCUGCCUCCUAUGACUGCCUCUUCAAAGGGAAAAGGGCUGCUGGGCCUCGUCUCCCAGUCAGUGUAGAGUGAGAUUACAGCAGCAGCUCAGGAGAAGCCUAGCUCUGAAAAGCCUUCCUAUUUGGCAUGGGGAGAUCUGCUCCAUGCCCCUCACUCCCUCGAUGGUCACCUCUUCUGUGGGAUAAUCCUGUGACUUUACCUUCCACUUUGGAACCAGUCUUUCCCACCAGCUGCCAGUCUGGGCCCCUCCUCAUGUGCUCUGUGCAGUGCUGCAGAAAGAGCCUGAUUAGUAGGCUCACGACAGAGAGAAGACAGACAUGGCUUCUCUCCUGGCUGGCUGAUCACUUGCCCACACUCCAGAUCCCUCAAUUAUCCAGAAGCAACUGACAAAAGAAUCUUCAUAGAAGUUACUCCUUUAGAUUUGUUUUAUGAAAGGAGGGAAUUUUCAAAUGUUUUCAAAAGAAAGUGACUACUAAUUUUUUGACAGGGCAGGAAUCACCUGGCAUUCUCUCCUUUAGGCCUAGAGAGGCAAGCUUCUGUUGCUGUGCAAGCCUUAUUACCCAUGAGGAAAAAGCUGACUUAGGCUGUUUACGUCUAGCCAGCUUGGUCUGCAUGUCUCUUCGGUGACCCACUGUACUCUUCCGCUCCCAUCACUACAGCACUCGGAUUAGGACAACGUGAGCUGUGCAAAUUUUGUUGGCCCCAACCAUAGUCUCUCCAUGAACUCUUUUCUAAAGUAAUUUGACUCCUUUUGUCUCCAAUGAGCUUAUACAAUGUUGCCCAAAGAUA